rnacentral:rRNA from 1 species
CCCUUAGACGUUCUGGGCCGCACGCGCGCUACACUGACCAGUGCAACAAGCAUCCGUCCUUGGCCGACAGGCUCGGGCAAUCUUUGAACGCUGGUCGUGAUGGGGAUAGACUUUUGCAAUUUUUGGUCUUCAACGAGGAAUUCCUAGUAAACGCAAGUCAUCAGCUUGCAUUGAUUACGUCCCUGCCCUUUGUACACACCGCCCGUCGCACCUACCGAUUGAAUGGUCCGGUGAAAUCCUCGGAUCGAGCCGUGGGGCAACUCCGGUUCGAGAAGUUGAUUAAACCUUACCAUUUAGAGGAAGGUGAAGUCGUAACA